GAUGAACGCUGGCGGCGUGCUUAACACAUGCAAGUCGAACGGUAUCCAAGGGUUGCUUGCACUUUUUGGUGGGAGUGGCGAACGGUUGAGUAACACGUGAGUAACCUUUCCUUUUCUUUGGGAUAAGCAUUCGAAAGGGUGUUUAAUACCUUAUGUUCUGUCUGCCUCGCAUGGGGUGGGUUGUAAAGGCUUUGGCCUUAUUUGGGUGGGCUCUCGGUCUAUCAGCUUGUUGGUGUGGUGAUGUCUUACAACGGCUUUGACGGGUAGCCGGCCUGAGAGGGUGGUGGGACACAGUGGGACUGCGAUCUGGUCCAGACGGCUGCGGGAGGCAGUAGUGGGGGAUAUUGCACAAUGGGAGAAAGCAUGAUGCAGUGAGGCAGCGUGGGGGAUGGAGGCCUUAGGGUUGUAAACUUCUUUUGCUAUGAACAAGGCAUGACAGUGGGUGUGUUGAGUGUAGGGGUGGAUUAGCGCCGGCUAACUACGUG
rnacentral:rRNA from 1 species